rnacentral:rRNA from 1 species
AUUGAACGCUGGCGGCAGGCCUAACACAUGCAAGUCGAGCGGAGCGGCGGACGGGUGAGUAAUGCCUAGGAAUCUGCCUGGUAGUGGGGGAUAACGUCCGGAAACGGGCGCUAAUACCGCAUACUAUCAGAUGAGCCUAGGUCGGAUUAGCUAGUUGGUGGGGUAAAGGCCUACCAAGGCGAAGAUCCGUAACUGGUCUGAGAGGAUGAUCAGUCACACUGGAACUGAGACACGGGCCAGACUUCUACGGGAGGCAGCAGUGGGGAAUAUUGGACAAUGGGCGAAAGCCUGACGGCGCAACGCCGCGGGAUUGAUGACGGCCUUCGGGUUGUAAAGCUCGUUAAGCGGGACGACGGUACCGGAAUAGAAAGCCACGGCUAACUACGUGCCAGCCGCCGCGGUAAUAC